rnacentral:SRP_RNA from 1 species
UCGUGCUAGACGGGAAGUUAGCGGUGUCCUGUAACCUGCAAUCCGCUGUAGCAGGGUUGAAUUCCAGGCUUAGGCUUUAAUUAGUGUGGCCUGCCUUAUGUAAGUGGUGUUGAGAGCUGGGCCUUACGCAACGGAAGCUCAUGAACCUCGUCAGAUCCGGAAGGAAGCAGCGAUAAGUGAGAUUUUCCGUGUGCCGUGAGUCUACCUAGCUUGAGCCAACUGCAUAAGUAACGCACAUUGAUUACUGUCAAAGCUUGGUGCACGA